GACCGGUUGACGACGGCCAGCAGUCGAACAAUCGAAUCCACUCCGAACGGUUGGGUCCCUUUCUCACGCAUACCCCUGGCUUGGUUUCGGUUAUUUAUUCGUUUCAUGACGUAGAAAACAACGAGAGCUUACAUCACGGCGAAAGGAUUGGCUGCGAAAGGAUUAUACCCAUCGAAGCAGGGUUUUUUGUCGACCCUCUGGCUGAACGACGCAGGAGGUCAUCAGUGUCACCACUGGUAUUUCGCUUGGACGGAGAGGCUAAAGGGAGAAAGGGGUCGCUCGUAGUGCGAAGCUGUCCGUCGAGCGGUGAAAACUAACGAAAGGUAUCGAAAGAGUUUAGUCACAAUAUUCGGGCGAUUUUCAUUCGACGAAUUUCGACACACAUUAAUUUGGCCCGAAAAUGGAUAUUUUCCCACCGCAGGCUAGGCGAGACCCACUUCAAGAGGCAUCCACACCGUAUUGCCAUAUUCCGCAAUUGAAGACAGCAACACAAGCGGACAGUUUUCAACGAACCGUUUCGUCUGGGUGUGAUGAAUGUACACCGAAAUGUGCGGGUAAUCAAACAUUCGGAUUGCGGAAAUCGUGUGAACCUGUGAGUUCCAGGCCGGAAAAGGUGCUGAUGUUUUCGGGGGUUCAGCAGUAGCGGUGAUAAAGGACAUGUUCGGGAGACGAAUAUGUUAUAAGUUGUAAUAAUUUUUAUUUCUACAAAAAAUUCUUUCAUAGAGUAAGAUUUCAGUUGGAAUUUAUGAGUUAACCUUCACUCGUUAAUGUC